rnacentral:lncRNA from 1 species
AUUUUAUAAAAGAAAAUUGUUAAAAUUUUCCCAUUAUUAAAAAAAUAUAUUUUCUUCAAAUGUUCAACACUUAUUCCAUUCUAUUCACAAUAAAACUAUAAAACCAUAUUUCAAUAAUGUACUGUAUAAACUUUAGCUUUUUAUGCUUAAUCAUGACCAUUUUCCCCACCUCAUCCAGCUGCUGCAGUUCUCCUUGCAAAUGGAAGAAUUCAUUUUGCUUUCUAUAUGUUCAGUUAGCUUUCUUGCAAUUAUAAUCAAUCUUAACUUCCACCCAUACAGCUUCUAUAAAAUAGGUGAAAGCCUUUUUGCAACCAAUUGUACAUUGAGAUUCACUAUACAGUAUUGCGAUAUGAAAAUCAGUUCAUGAACUUUGACUGUACUGAUAUAAAAAAUGUGUUUUUUUUCUUAUAUGUGGUUCUU